rnacentral:rRNA from 1 species
UGAGCUCGAUGAGUAGGGCGGGACACGUGGUAUCCUGUCUGAAUAUGGGGGGACCAUCCUCCAAGGCUAAAUACUCCUGACUGACCGAUAGUGAACCAGUACCGUGAGGGAAAGGCGAAAAGAACCCCGGCGAGGGGAGUGAAAAAGAACCUGAAACCGUGUACGUACAAGCAGUGGGAGCACCCUUUGGGGUGUGACUGCGUACCUUUUGUAUAAUGGGUCAGCGACUUAUAUUCUGUAGCAAGGUUAACCGUAUAGGGGAGCCGGAGGGAAACCGAGUCUUAACCGGGCGUUAAGUUGCAGGGUAUAGACCCGAAACCCGGUGAUCUAGCCAUGGGCAGGUUGAAGGUUGGGUAACACUAACUGGAGGACCGAACCGACUAAUGUUGAAAAAUUAGCGGAUGACCUGUGGCUGGGGGUGAAAGGCCAAUCAAACCGGGAGAUAGCUGGUUCUCCCCGAAAGCUAUUUAGGUAGCGCCUCGUGAACUCAUCUCCGGGGGUAGAGCACUGUUUCGGCUAGGGGGCCAUCCCGGCUUACCAACCCGAUGCAAACUGCGAAUACCGGAGAAUGUUAUCACGGGAGACACACGGCGGGUGCUAACGUCCGUCGUGAAGAGGGAAACAACCCAGACCGCCAGCUAAGGUCCCAAAGUCAUGGUUAAGUGGGAAACGAUGUGGGAAGGCCCAGACAGCCAGGAUGUUGGCUUAGAAGCAGCCAUCAUUUAAAGAAAGCGUAAUAGCUCACUGGUCGAGUCGGCCUGCGCGGAAGAUGUAACGGGGCUAAACCAUGCACCGAAGCUGCGGCAGCGACGCUGAUGCGUUGUUGGGUAGGGGAGCGUUCUGUAAGCCUGCGAAGGUGGCCUGUGAGGGUUGCUGGAGGUAUCAGAAGUGCGAAUGCUGACAUAAGUAACGAUAAAGCGGGUGAAAAGCCCGCUCGCCGGAAGACCAAGGGUUCCUGUCCAACGUUAAUCGGGGCAGGGUGAGUCGACCCCUAAGGCGAGGCCGAAAGGCGUAGUCGAUGGGAAACGGGUUAAUAUUCCCGUACUUGGUGUUACUGCGAAGGGGGGACGGAGAAGGCUAUGUUGGCCGGGCGACGGUUGUCCCGGUUUAAGCGUGUAGGUGUGUGUUCCAGGUAAAUCCGGUUCACUUUAACACUGAGGCGUGAUGACGAGGCACUACGGUGCUGAAGCAACAAAUGCCCUGCUUCCAGGAAAAGCCUCUAAGCAUCAGGUAACAUCAAAUCGUACCCCAAACCGACACAGGUGGUCAGGUAGAGAAUACCAAGGCGCUUGAGAGAACUCGGGUGAAGGAACUAGGCAAAAUGGUGCCGUAACUUCGGGAGAAGGCACGCUGACACGUAGGUGAAGUGAUUUACUCAUGGAGCUGAAGUCAGUCGAAGAUACCAGCUGGCUGCAACUGUUUAUUAAAAACACAGCACUGUGCAAACACGAAAGUGGACGUAUACGGUGUGACGCCUGCCCGGUGCCGGAAGGUUAAUUGAUGGGGUCAGCGCAAGCGAAGCUCCUGAUCGAAGCCCCGGUAAACGGCGGCCGUAACUAUAACGGUCCUAAGGUAGCGAAAUUCCUUGUCGGGUAAGUUCCGACCUGCACGAAUGGCGUAAUGAUGGCCAGGCUGUCUCCACCCGAGACUCAGUGAAAUUGAACUCGCUGUGAAGAUGCAGUGUACCCGCGGCAAGACGGAAAGACCCCGUGAACCUUUACUAUAGCUUGACACUGAACAUUGAGCCUUGAUGUGUAGGAUAGGUGGGAGGCUUUGAAGUGUGG